rnacentral:rRNA from 1 species
UACGUAGGGGGCAAGCGUUGUCCGGAAUCAUUGGGCGUAAAGAGCGUGUAGGUGGCUCGGUAAGUCCGCUGUGAAAGUCCAGGGCUCAACCCUGGAAAGCCGGUGGAAACUGUCGAGCUCGAGUCCGGAAGAGGCGAGUGGAAUUCCUGGUGUAGCGGUGAAAUGCGCAGAUAUCAGGAAGAACACCUAUGGCGAAGGCAGCUCUCUGGGACGGUACUGACGCUGAGACGCGAAAGCGUGGGGAGCGAACAGG